rnacentral:rRNA from 1 species
UGAGCAAUCUGCCCUUCUCAUCGGAAUAAGCGUUGGAAACGACGUCUAAUGCCGAAUACGACCUCCUUUCGCAUGAUCGGAGGUGGAAAGCUCCGGCGGAGAAGGAUGAGCUCGCGGCCUAUCAGCUAGUUGGUGUGGGUAAUGGCCCACCAAGGCGACGGACGGGUAGCCGGCCUGAGGAGGGUGACCGGCCACACUGGGACUGAGACACGGCCCAGACCUCCGUACGGGAGCAG